rnacentral:tRNA from 1 species
CCCACGGUAGCUCAGUCGGCAGAGCAACCGGUUGAAACCCGGUGCGCGGGGGUUCGAGACCCUCCCGUGGGGCCA